rnacentral:tRNA from 1 species
GGUUUUAUAGUCAAUUAUGAUUUUAAAUUGCAAGUUUAAAGGUAAAGGGUAUCUUUAUAAAGCCU